CCUACGGGUGGCAGUAGUGAGGAAUAUUGGUCAAUGGACGAGAGUCUGAACCAGCCAAGUAGCGUGAAGGAUGACUGCCCUAUGGGUUGUAAACUUCUUUUAUAUGGGAAUAAAAUGUUCCACGUGUGGGAUUUUGUAUGUACCAUAUGAAUAAGGAUCGACUAACUCCGUGCCAGCAGCCGCGGUAAUACGGAGGAUCCGAGCGUUAUCCGGAUUUAUUGGGUUUAAAGGGAGCGUAGGUGGAUUGUUAAGUCAGUUGUGAAAGUUUGCGGCUCAACCGUAAAAUUGCAGUUGAAACUGGCAGUCUUGAGUACAGUAGAGGUGGGCGGAAUUCGUGGUGUAGCGGUGAAAUGCUUAGAUAUCACGAAGAACUCCGAUUGCGAAGGCAGUUCACUGGACUGCAACUGACACUGAGGCUCGAAAGUGUGGGUAUCAAACAGGAUUAGAUACCCUAGUAGUC
rnacentral:rRNA from 1 species